rnacentral:rRNA from 1 species
GUGGGGAAUCUUGCGCAAUGGGCGGAAGCCUGACGCAGCAACGCCGCGUGUGGGAAGACGGCUUUCGGGUUGUAAACCACUUUCAGGGGGGACGAAGCUUCCGAGGUUAAUAGCCUACGGGGUGACGGUACCCCCAGAAGAAGCCCCGGCUAACUACGUGCCAGCAGCCGCGGUAAUACGUAGGGGGCGAGCGUUGUCCGGAAUCAUUGGGCGUAAAGCGCGUGUAGGCGGCUUGGUAAGUCUGGUGUGAAACCUUGGGGCUUAACCCCAAGCCUGCACUGGAUACUGCCAAGCUUGAGUCCGGGAGGGGAGAGCGGAAUUCCUAGUGUAGCGGUGAAAUGCGCAGAUAUUAGGAAGAACACCGGUGGCGAAGGCGGCUCUCUGGAACGGUACUGACGCUGAGACGCGAAAGCGUGGGGAGCGAACAGGAUUAGAUACCCGAGUAGUCC